GACGAACGCUGGCGGCGUGCUUAACACAUGCAAGUCGAACGGAAAGGCCCUGCUUUUGUGGGGUGCUCGAGUGGCGAACGGGUGAGUAACACGUGAGUAACCUGCCCUUGACUUUGGGAUAACUUCAGGAAACUGGGGCUAAUACCGGAUAGGAGCUCCUGCUGCAUGGUGGGGGUUGGAAAGUUUCGGCGGUUGGGGAUGGACUCGCGGCUUAUCAGCUUGUUGGUGGGGGAGUGGCUUACCCAGGCUUUGACGGGUCGCCGGCCUGGGAGGGUGACCGGCCACCUGGGGACUGAGAUACGGCCCAGACUCCAACGGGAGGCAACAGGGGGGAAUAUUGCACAAUGGGCCGAAGCCUGAUGCAGCAACGCCGCGUGCGGGAUGACGGCCUUCGGGUUGUAAACCGCUUUCGCCUGUGACGAAGCGGGAGUGACGGUAAUGGGUAAAGAAGCACCGGCUAACUACGUG
rnacentral:rRNA from 1 species